rnacentral:rRNA from 1 species
GGGGGCUUUGGGCUUUUUGCUGGACGAGUUGGCGGACGGGUGAGUAAUGUCUGGGAAACUGCCUGAUGGAGGGGGAUAACUACUGGAAACGGUGGCUAAUACCGCAUAACGUCGCAAGACCAAAGAGGGGGACCUUCGGGCCUCUUGCCAUCAGAUGUGCCCAGAUGGGAUUAGCUUGUUGGUGAGGUAACGGCUCACCAAGGCGACGAUCCCUAGCUGGUCUGAGAGGAUGACCAGCCACACUGGAACUGAGACACGGUCCAGACUCCUACGGGAGGCAGCAGUGGGGAAUAUUGCACAAUGGGCGCAAGCCUGAUGCAGCCAUGCCGCGUGUAUGAAGAAGGCCUUCGGGUUGUAAAGUACUUUCAGCGGGGAGGAAGGUGUUGUGGUUAAUAACCGCAGCAAUUGACGUUACCCGCAGAAGAAGCACCGGCUAACUCCGUGCCAGCAGCCGCGGUAAUACGGAGGGUGCAAGCGUUAAUCGGAAUUACUGGGCGUAAAGCGCACGCAGGCGGUCUGUCAAGUCGGAUGUGAAAUCCCCGGGCUCAACCUGGGAACUGCAUUCGAAACUGGCAGGCUUGAGUCUUGUAGAGGGGGGUAGAAUUCCAGGUGUAGCGGUGAAAUGCGUAGAGAUCUGGAGGAAUACCGGUGGCGAAGGCGGCCCCCUGGACAAAGACUGACGCUCAGGUGCGAAAGCGUGGGGAGCAAACAGGAUUAGAUACCCUGGUAGUCCACGCCGUAAACGAUGUCUACUUGGAGGUUGUGCCCUUGAGGCGUGGCUUCCGGAGCUAACGCGUUAAGUAGACCGCCUGGGGGAGUACGGCCGCAAAGUUAAAACUCAAAUGAAUUGACGGGGGCCCGCACAAGCGUGGGAGCAUGUGGUUUAUUCGAUGCAACGCGAAGAACCUUACCUGGUCUUGACAUCCACAAGAACUUUCCAGAGAUGGAUUGGUGCCUUUCGGAACUGUGAGAACAGGUGCUGCAUGGCUGUCGUCAGCUCGUGUUUGUGAAUGUUGGUUAAGUCCCGCACGGAGGCGCCACCUAUCCUUGUUGCAAGCGUUCCGCGUCACUCAAGAACUGCAGUGAUAACUGAGAAGGUGGGAAU